GAUGAACGCUGGCGGCGUGCCUAAUACAUGCAAGUCGAGCGAACAGAUGAGGAGCUUGCUCCUCUGACGUUAGACGCGGACGGGUGAGUAACACGUGGAUAACCUACCUAUAAGACUGGGAUCACUUCGGGAAACCGGAGCUCAUACCGGAUAAUAUAUUGAACCGCAUGGUUCAAUAGUGAAAGACGGUUUUGCUGUCACUUAUAGAUGGAUCCGCGCCGCAUUAGCUAGUUGGUAAGGUAACGGCUUACCAAGGCAACGAUGCGUAGCCGACCUGAGAGGGUGACCGGCCACACUGGAACUGAGACACGGUCCAGACUCCUACGGGAGGAAGCAGUAGGGAAUUUUCGGCAAUGGGCGAAAGCCUGACGGAGCAACGCCGCGUGAGGGAUGAAGGUCUUCGGAUCGUAAAACUCUGUUAUUAGGGAAGAACAAAUGUGUAAGUAACUAUGCACGUCUUGACGGUACCUAAUCAGAAAGCCACGGCUAACUACGUG
rnacentral:rRNA from 1 species